rnacentral:rRNA from 1 species
AUUGAACGCUGGCGGCAUGCUUUACACAUGCAAGUCGAACGGCAGCGCGGGGGGCAACCCUGGCGGCGAGUGGCGAACGGGUGAGUAAUACAUCGGAACGUACCCAGAAGUGGGGGAUAACGUAGCGAAAGUUACGCUAAUACCGCAUACGUUCUACGGAAGAAAGUGGGGGACCUUCGGGCCUCAUGCUUUUGGAGCGGCCGAUGUCUGAUUAGCUAGUUGGUGAGGUAAAGGCUCACCAAGGCGACGAUCAGUAGCUGGUCUGAGAGGACGACCAGCCACACUGGAACUGAGACACGGUCCAGACUCCUACGGGAGGCAGCUGUGGGGGAAUUUUGGGACAAUGGGGGCAACCCUGAUCCAGCAAUGCCGCGUGAGUGAAGAAGGCCUCGGGUUGUUAAAGGCUCUUUUGUUCAGGGAA